CGUCUCGUGGACGAAAACGCCGGCGCGAAGACUACAUACAGUUCGUGAGCCACCGGAUGGAAAAGUCCACUGGGCAAUGCACUUUUUGUCCCGCACACCUGCACGCACGAGCUGUGCACACAGUCGUUACUCGCUCAAAGGCGAUAUCGGAAACGAUGCUUCCCGUCGACGUCCAAGAACAUCCGAACAACCAAGAACAUCCGAACAAAGAAAAAGAUAGGAACCUCGAAGGAAGACUAUUUUUACGGACUAAAAAGUGUACUCGCCUAUACUUGAAAAAAGUACAUACGUAGUAUAUGCAGCAUCGCCGUUUACUCUAAGUGGCCGAUUUUAAAUGCAACGUUUAAACGAGGAGAAAGACGAGACAUCAUCGGCGUGUCUCAAGGAGUAUUUUCUACGCGGAAAAUCGCUUCCACGGUAUUCCUUUCCGUCGUUUCCCUUAGCUCAACGGCAGUCGUUAAUAUACCGGCAGUGGCGCAGGUGCGAGUUCUUUUACGAUCGAGCCUUUUACUCUCUUCGCUCUUAUCGUAAAGUGCUCUCUUCCCGAAGAGAAUUCGCUUCACCCUUUUCGUCUCGCGUGCACGUACGAGACGUCAUCGUCAUCAUCCUUGUUAUUGUCGUAGUUGACGUCAACGACGACGCCAAAGUCGUCGAGGAAGCAGCAGCAGAAGAAGAAGAAGAAGAAGAAGAAGAAGUUUUCUAGCCAACGAAAUUCAAUGGCGUGUGGAUCGUUUAAGGGUCGGCUUAAAGGAAGGGACGUGAAAGUGAAAAGCGGCUUUCCAACGUAUAGCGCGCUCGGCAACGGGGUUGAGAGAUCAUGGAAAGGGUCCGCGAACGUGGGAUGAUCGAAUCUAGUCGCACGCAUGCGUACUACCGGGAGAGCUUCCUGUUCAAGGUCACAGUCCCGCUACCGCAGACACGCGUCGCCCUGUGCUAUCGCCGUUGUUCAACUUUCUUUCUUUCUUUCUUUCUUUCUUUGUUCUUUUUUUUUUCUUUCUUUUUUUUCUUCUUAUUUAUCGAAACUCUAGAAAAUAUUCAUAAAUGUGUAUAUGGUACUACUAUAUGGUAUUGUGACCCUCAAGUUACUUAAAGCAUAUUGCAUUAGUUGUUCCUCAUAAAUAUUUUUCUAUCCUCUUACACGAUACAGUUUGUAAAAUAAAACGAAUUUAAGAUUUAAAUGAUUUUUAAAUAAAAAUAUUACCUAGAUUUCUAAUCAAAACGACCAUGAGUUUUGUUUUGCGUCACUUUCAAAAUAAACGUUACUUAUUUAUUUUUAGAUAAAAUAAACAAUAAAUUUCGGUUGUGUGCGGACAUACAGAAUAGAUAGACAUUGUUAAUCUUCCAAGAAAAUACGUCAUAUAUAACUUUGUCAGUGUGGGUAACAAUGUAAGAAAACAGAUACGUAACUUUGAUUUUUGGUUAUAGAAAAUUGGCCGUAUUCUGUGGUACGUGUAGAAAUGAUCAUAUAUUAUGCCGUAAUCGUUUUUCUCCGCUACUUAAACAGCACACAAUCUUGGUAUAUAAAGGAUACCUCUUCACGUGCGAGAAGUAUAGCAGCAAAGCUGCUUUUAUAGAUCCACGAAAAGACAGAGAAAGCGGUUAGCGUGAAGUCGUUUAAACGCUCGUAUCUUUCUCCUUGCAAUACUUUCGUCUAUUGCUUUUUUACAAUGAUAGUGAGAAAAAGAUACCUUUCGUACGAUAAAAUGCAAUAAUAUCAAAUGGCGUGAUAGCCCUUUCCAUUUUAUUUCCAACUUUUCGUUUCCACAUUUAUAUUAAAGCUCCAUUUCUGUCUUAUAGCAAUCGAUAUUACUCUAUAUAUACGAUAGCGACAUUUGGAUUUAUAUAAAAUGCGAUUUUGAUGUUCAAAAUUGGAUCCCUGACUGAGCUUUAUUACUAUAAAUAUAAAAUAAAGAUUUUUCUUUUUUCAUUCA